GACGAACGCUGGCGGCGUGCUUAACACAUGCAAGUCGAACGGAAAGGCCCUGCUUUUGUGGGGUGCUCGAGUGGCGAACGGGUGAGUAACACGUGAGUAACCUGCCCUUGACUUUGGGAUAACUUCAGGAAACUGGGGCUAAUACCGGAUAGGAGCUCCUGCUGCAUGGUGGGGGGUGGAAAGUUUCGGCGGUUGGGGAUGGACUCGCGGCUUAGCAUCUUGUUGGUGGGGGGUUGGCUUACCAAGGCUCUGCCGGGUAGCCGCCCUGAGAGGGUGACCGGCCACAUUGGGAUUGGGGAGGGGCCAGUGGGCAUACGGGGGCAAGGGGUGGGAAUUUUUGCCAAACGGACGGAGGACUGGUGGAACACCGCCGGGUGGGGAAGGCCGGCUUUCGGGUUGGAAACCUCUUUGGCUUGUAACGAGGGGGGAUGACGGGAAAUGGUAAAGAAGCACCGGCUAACUACGUG
rnacentral:rRNA from 1 species